GAUGAACGCUGGCGGCGUGCUUAACACAUGCAAGUCGAACGGAGUGGCGAACGGGUGAGUAACACGUGAGUAACCUGUCCUUUUCUUUGGGAUAAGCUUCCGAAAGGGUGUUUAAUACCUUAUAGGGUGGGCUCGCGGUCUAUCAGCUUGUUGGUGGGGUGAUGGCCUACCAAGGCUUUGACGGGUAGCCGGCAUGAGAGGGUGGUCGGUCACAUUGGGACUGAGAUACGGCCCGGACGCCUGCGGGAGGCAGCAGUGGUGGAUAUUGCACAAUGGGCUAAAGCCUGAUGCAGCGACGGCGCGUGGGGGAUGAAGGCCUUCGGGUUGUAAACUUCUUUGGCUCUGAACGUGUAGGGGUUGAUUAGCGCCGGCUAACUACGUGCCAGCCGCCGCGGUAAUAC
rnacentral:rRNA from 1 species